GCACAAAUGAACCUAUCAUGAACCUGAACCUAUCUACAAAACAGAAAUGGACUAGCAGACAUAGAGAACAGACUCAUUGUUGCCAAGGGGGAGGUGGAGAGGGAGAGGGAUGGACUGGGAGUUUGGGGUUCGUAUAUGCAAACUAUUACAUUUAGAAUUGAUAAACAACAAGGUCCUAAUGUACAGCACGGAACUAUAUCCAAUCUCCUGGGAAAAACCAUAAUGGAAAAGAAUAUUAAAAAAGAAUGUAUAUAUGUGUAUAAUUGAGUCACUUUGCUUUACAGCAGAAGUUAACACAACGUUGUAAAUCAACUAUACUUCAAUUUAAAAAAAAAAGGGGGGGGGACAUGGUACCAUCUAGUAAAUUGUGCCUAUAAGACAGCUACAUCUUCGAGCCUCUUAGCUUUGCUGUUAUUCUUUGAGAAUUGAGAGAUGUAUCAUUUUCUAUACUUUUAAAAAAUCUUGUCACCUCUUCUGUUAUUCCCAGCUUUUUACCCUGCCACUUUAAUUCAUUUUUAUCUCUUCAUGUUUUAUACUUCACUCCUCCUGAAACUAUCGUUCUUAUGGUCUUGAUCUGGAAUUUAGGGUUUACAUUUAAGUUUAAUCUAAUUAGCAUAUAGCAGGUGCUUUCUCAUCAAGCAGAGCACUGCAAGAGGCAUAAAGAAGAGUUCCUAUCCUGGAAAAUCUGGUAAUAGACCCACCAAAGCAUUAGGCGUAAGCAUUUUUGAAUUGAGUUGGAUACAGUGUUUGUGGUCAGAUAGGAAUAGAUUACAUAAUGGAAUGGCUGUAAAUGAAUAUCAGAUGGACAGAGAAUUGAUCCCCCUGUGAUGGGCACUGUCUCUCAUUCCAGUUUUCAAAGGUCGGCCUACAUCUGUCUGAAUCUCAAUUGAAUCCUUCACCUGAAAUUUCAACAUCACAUCUCCAAAUUGAGUUCUCAUUCUGUGUCCAGCAUAAUAUCAGUUGCCACGUGUUUGUUUUAUCCUGGCUACCUGAAUCUGAUUGAACUUGAUAGAAACAGCUUUUGAUGAGCACAGAACUGUAUAAGUACAUUUUAAAUGUUAACAAACCAACUUUUGGAAAAUUUCAACAUUACUUUCCAAUCACCUCCACCACCCUCACUUUUAUUAUGCAGUCCUCUUCCACUGCUUUCAGUUAGUCAUACUGUAUGAGUCAGGAUUCAGUCAGGAAAACAAAAGCAGCCACUCUGUAUAUCCCAGGAGUAAAGGGUUUAUUGUCGGAAUUAAAGUUGACACCCCCAUUGGGAGAGCUGGAGGAGGGAGGAUCAGAUCAGGCCAUGGUCGGCGGAGCUCAGGGACUCUCUUCCUUACACAGUGGAGCGCGGGCUCAGGACUUGAGGGGAAGCUGCUCUCAUCCUUAGGAAUCCCAGGGUAGUCCCCACCAGUAUCUCAGUUUGCAGUAGUGGAGCAGGUGGUUUUCAAGAAUGCUCUGGAAAGCUUCUGCAAAUCUCACAUCUGCCCACACUUGGCAACAGCCUCCAGAGAACAAUGGCUUCCUCUCCCAACUUCCAAAUCUUGAAAGAGUGCCUCUCAUUGGUCAUGUUUAACCUGGAACCACCCCCCCACGUGGGGGGAGGGGAUCCUGGGAAAUGUAGUUUCUGAUGUCUCUAAAGUACGGAAGGUGGCAGUGAUGCUGAGUUGACAACAGGCAGGACACAGAUAAGUCCAGUUUGAUUCUAGGAGGAGCUUAUUGAUAUCAACUCAUGUCCUAGCUCCUUUUGUCAUUCUGAAACUUCAUGUUUUAGGUUCAGUAAAAAGCAAUUCAGUAUAGUGAAGGUGGCUUUAACAUUCUCGUAUAUAAAUUCCUAAUUGUUCCAUAGCCAAUAGUCAGCCCUUGCAACAUCAGAUAAGUUCUUUGCUGGAGAUAUGUUUAUUUCUCAAAUGAAACUGGAAGCUGAGACUUUUCUUAUAUCCUUCCUAGGAUUCCACAAUUCUUUGAAGACAUUUAAAAAUAUCAGUUAACUUGUCUUCAUAUUUUUUUUUUUUGGCCAUGCCGCAUUGCAUGCGGGAUCUUAGUUACCUGACCAGGGAUCGAACCCAUGCCCCCUGCAUUGGGAGCGCCUUAACUGGACCACCAGGGAAGUCCCUUAGUGUUUUAAAUAUAUAUUUUAAGAAAGCAGUUCUCCACUGGGGACAGUUUUUACCCUGUGGGACAUUUGGCAAUAUCUGGAGACAAUUUUGACCAUCAGAACUGGGGGAGGUGCUACUGGCAGCUAGUAGACAGAGGUCAGAGAUGUGCUAAACAUGCUACAAUGCACAGGACAGUCCCCAUAACACAGAAUUGUCCAGCCCCAGAAGCCAGUAGCCUGAGAUUGAGAUACCCUAUUUAGGUCAGUGAAGAGGAAAGAGUGCUGGCUAUGAGGCAGGUCUGGAUUAUUUGAAUCUUGGCUCUGCCACAUAUGAGCUGAGAUAUCUUGGACAAUUUGCAUUAUAUUUAUGAGCUUCAGUUUCCCCAUUUUAUAUGGGCAUGAUAGUGCCCUCCUUACAUGAUUGAGAAAGGAUUUGAGAUAGCCAUUCUGACAGGUGUGAGAUGAUAGCUCACUGUGGUUUUGAUUUGCAUUUCUCUGAUGAUUAGUGAUGUUGCGAUAUCACCUCAUACCUGUCAGAAUAGAUACUGUCAAGAAGACAGGAAUAACAAGUAUUAGUGAGGAUGUGGAGAGAAAAGGAAACACUUGUGCACUGUUGGUGGGAAUGUAAAUUGGUACAGCCACUGUGGAAAACAGUAUGGAGGUUCCUCAAAAAAAUUAAAAAUUGUACUAUCAUGAGAUCCAGCAAUGCCACUCCUGAGUAUAUAUCCAAGGAAAAUGAAAACACUAAUUUGAAAAGAUACAUGCACCCCAGUGUUCAUAGCAGCAUUAUUUACAAUUGCCAAGAUAUGAAAGCAACCUAAGCCCAUCAACAGAAGAAUGAAUAAAGAUGUGGGGUGUGUGGGUGUGUGGCGGUGUGUGUGUGUGUGUGUAUCUACAAUAGAACGCUACUCAGCCGUAAAAAAGAAUGAAAUUUUGCCAUUUGUGACAACAUGGAUGGACCUGGAGAUUAUCAUACUAAGUGAAAUAAGUCAGAAAGACAAAUACUGUAUGUUUUCACUUCUAUGUGGAGUAUAAAAAAAUGAAACAAAUGAACAAACAUAACAAAACCAAAACAGACGCACAGAUACAGAAAACAAAUGGUAGUUAACCAGAGGGAAGUGAAGGAGGAGGAGGGGUAAAGGGGAUUAAGAGGUACAAACUACUAGGUAUAAAAUAGGUAAGUUACAAGGAUGUAAAGUGCAGCACAGGGAAUAUAGUCAACAUUUUAUAAUAACUUUAUAUGGAGGAUAAUCUAUAAAAAUACUAAAUCACUAUGUUGCACACCUGAAACUAACAGUAUUGUAAGUCAACUAUACUUCAAUUAAAAUUUUUUUAAGUUAGAAAAAGAAUCUGACACCAUAAAGUGCUCAAUA